UGGAUCAAUGAUGACCACUGGUGGCGUGUGAGUUGAGGAUCGUGACUACAGGUCUGGAAGUCUGAGGUCCAA
rnacentral:snoRNA from 1 species